GACGAACGCUGGCGGCGUGCUUAACACAUGCAAGUCGAACGGAAAGGCCCUGCUUUUGUGGGGUGCUCGAGUGGCGAACGGGUGAGUAACACGUGAGUAACCUGCCCUUGACUUUGGGAUAACUUCAGGAAACUGGGGCUAAUACCGGAUAGGAGCUCCUGCUGCAUGGUGGGGGUUGGAAAGUUUCGGCGGUUGGGGAUGGACUCGCGGCUUAUCAGCUUGUUGGUGGGGUAGUGGCUUACCAAGGCUUUGACGGGUAGCCGGCCUGAGAGGGUGACCGGCCACAUUGGGACUGAGAUACGGCCCAGACUCCUACGGGAGGCAGCAGGGGGGAGUAUUGCACAAUGAGCGGGAGCCUGAUGCAGAAACGCCGCGUGCGGGAUGAAGGCCUUCGGGUUGUAAACCGCUUUCGCCUGUGACGAAGCGUGAGUGACGGUAAUGGGUAAAGAAGCACCGGCUAACUACGUG
rnacentral:rRNA from 1 species